rnacentral:rRNA from 1 species
CUACGGGGGGCAGCAGUUAGGAAUAUUUUGCAAUGCGCGCAAGCGUGACAAAUUGAGCCAGAGUGUCCUCCACAUAGGCGGACUUUUUUAGAAUCUAAAAACUUCUAAGAAUAAGGACUGGGUAAGACGAGUGCCAGCCGCCGCGGUAAUACUCGCGGUCCAAGUCGCAGCCAUAUUUAUUGGGUCUAAAACAUCCGUAGCUUGCUUUGUAAGUUCUCUGUGAAAUUCUAUCUCUUAAAGGUGGAGCGCGCAAGGAAUACUGCUAAGCUAGAGACUGGAAGACGUAAGAAGUAUGUUCAAAGUAGCGGUAAAAUGUUUUAAUCUUGAACAGACUCACAAUAGCGAAGGCAUCUUACGAGGACAGUUCUGACAGUAAGGGAUGAAGGCUAGGGUCGCGAAAGGGAUUAGAUACCCUUGUAGUC